rnacentral:rRNA from 1 species
AUUGAACGCUGGCGGUAUGCUUAACACAUGCAAGUCGAACGGUAACAGGCCUUCGGGCGCUGACGAGUGGCGGACGGUGAGUAACGCGUAGGAAUCUGCCUCAUAGUGGGGGACAACGUGGGGAAACUCACGCUAAUACCGCAUACGCCCUACGGGGAAAGCGGGGAGUCUUCGGACCUCGCGCUAUGAGAUGAGCCUGCGUUAGAUUAGCUAGUUGGUAGGGUAAAGGCCUACCAAGGCGACGAUCUAUAGCUAGGUCUGAGAGGACGAUCAGCCACACUGGGACUGAGACACGGCCCAGACUCCUACGGGAGGCAGCAGUGGGGAAUAUUGGACAAUGGGCGCAAGCCUGAUCCAGCAAUUACCGCGUGUGUGAAGAAGGCCUUAGGGUUGUAAAGCACUUCAAUUGGG